CCCACCCUAUCUCCGAUACAUCUGAUUCUGAUCCAUCCAGUCAUGAGCUCUACUAGAUCCUUGUAGUUAGUCUUGUCUUUUGUCUCUUUCUAGGAUCUAUCUUUUGGGCCAUGUAAUGAUGUUGACUGAUUAACUUUUAUAUUUUGGUGUUUAUAUUGGAACCACUAUGUGGUAUCAGUCACUUUUUGAUUAUAUAUCUACUCCUUGACUUUUAAUGUAUGACCUUCAAAUUGGGUCACUUUCAAUUGUAUGCAUGCUUAAAAUACUAUGAAUUGCUAUUUCAUAUCUAUGAUAUCCAAUGGUAUAUUCUUUUAUGAUUGUUGUAUUCAGGGGGAGUAAACAUUAAUGCUAGUAAAAUUACUGUUAGUAAAAGAAGCUAAAGAAGUAAUAUUAGUAAAAUUAUUUCCAUCAAAAGAAAGAAAAAGAGAAAAUAUAUUCAAAGAAAAAGGGAGAGUAAACAAUCUUUUGUUGAUGAUGUCAAAAAGGGGGAGAAAUGCUAUACCAAAAUGAAAGAAUCAAAAGCAAAUUGAUGAAAGAAUCAAAAGUAGAUUAAUAAAAGAAUUAAAAGCAAAAUGAGUAAAUUGAUGAAAGAAUCAAAAGCAGAUUAAUAAAAGAAUUAAAAGCAAAAUGAGUAAAUUGUUUAAGCAAAAGCAAAUG
rnacentral:lncRNA from 1 species